CCUACGGGAGGCAGCAGUGGGGAAUAUUGGGCAAUGGGCGCAAGCCUGACCCAGCAAUGCCGCGUGCAGGAAGACGGCUCUCGGGUUGUUAACUUCCUUGACAGGGGAAGUGCAGAAGACGGUACCCUGCAAACAAGCCAUGGCUAACUACGUGCCAGCAGCCGCGGUAAUACGGAGGUGGCAAGCGUUGUCCGGAUUUACUGGGUGUAAAGGGCGUGUAGCCGGGAAGGCAAGUCAGAUGUGAAAUCUGGGGGCUCAACCUCCAAAUUGCAUGUGAAACUGUUGUUCUUGAGUACUGGAGAGGCAGACGGAAUGCAUGGUGUAGCGGUGAAAUGCGUAGAGAUAA
rnacentral:rRNA from 1 species